CCCUUAGAUGUCCUGGGCCGCACGCGCGCUACACUGAGUGUCUGAGAUACGAGUCUGCCUGGUCCGGCAAGGUCUAGGUAAUCGCUAAAAGACACAUCAUGCUUGGGAUAGAUUAUUGCAAAUAUUAAUCUUGAACGAGGAAUUCCUAGUAAGCGCAAGUCAACAGCUUGCGUUGAUUACGUCCCUGCCCUUUGUACACACCGCCCGUCGCUACUACUGAUUGGAUGUUUAAGCGAGGUUCUCGAACUGCUAGCGACUUAGCUUCGGUGAGGUCGCAGUGUGGGAAGUGAACCUAGCUUUGGUGUCUAGAGGAAGGUGAAGUCGUAACA
rnacentral:rRNA from 1 species